CGUAAGGAACGUUUUACGGUACGAACUACGAUGGACGUACUUAGUGGCGGACGGGUGAGUAACGCGUGAGUAACCUGCCUUGGAGUGGGAAGUACAAUUGGAAACAGCUGCUAAUACGCCAUAAUAUGUCUGUGUCGCAUGGCACUGGACAUCAAAGAUUUAUCGCUCUGAGAUGGACUCGCGUCUGAUUAGCUAGUUGCGGGGUAACGGGCCCACCCAAGGCGACGAUCAGUAGCCGGACUGAGAGGUUGGCCGGCCACCAUUGGGACUGAGACACGGCCCAGACUCCUACGGGAGGCAGCAGUGGGGAAUAUUGGGCAAUGGGCGCAAGCCUGACCCAGCAACGCCGCGUGAAGGAAGAAGGCUUUCGGGUUGUAAACUUCUUUUCUCAGGGACGAAGCAAGUGACGGUACCUGAGGAAUAAGCCACGGCUAACUACGUG
rnacentral:rRNA from 1 species